rnacentral:tRNA from 1 species
UCGAUGGUCUAGUGGUUAGGACCCGGUGCUCAUGUGGCCCGGGUUCGAUUCCCGGUCUGAAAA